rnacentral:misc_RNA from 1 species
GUGAAUCAUCGAAUUUUUGAACGCAAAUUGCGCCUUUUUCGGAAGGCAUGUCUGUUUGAGGGCACCAUUUAACAAAUAAUGUGCUGCGCUUUUUGCUGCACACGUUGAUGAGCUUUCCAAGAAUUUUAAAUUUUUGGUGGCGCAUAAUGAACUGCGAGAAAGUUUUUUUAGUUCGAGUGUAGUAAAAUCUUUGUUUGGGUUGUGAAAAAAUAUAAUAGUGCAAUGGGUGUGGCUAUUUCUUUUUAUCCAUG